rnacentral:tRNA from 1 species
GCUCGGGUGGCGGAAUUGGUAGACGCGCUAGACUAAGGAUCUAGUGGGUGAAUAACCCGUGGGGGUUCGAGCCCCCCCUCGAGCA